UGUAGACAACCCAGACUAAUGAAACAGAAGAUCAAACUAGAUGAUGAGGAAAGCUGAAGGAGGUUUGGGAAGCAGGGAGCAGCGGAUCCAGCGCUCUGAUGCCAGGAAGAAACCACACUGUCAGGGGAUGAAAACAAUCACACAAACAAAGCAUCUAGAUCCUAAAAUAAAAUCAACUGGACUAUAUGAAAGACUUGAGUGCUUUAUUUUGUAUUGACACCUUUCUGCAAUGCGAUUCUGUUUGGUAUCUGACCAUGUGGUGCUCAACUCUGUUGAAAUUAUCUAUGAUAGAUUAGCCCGUAUUUUCAAUGACUUUUACUCUAGUCUUUUUAAUUCCUUCCUCUUUCUUGAAAGGGGUAGAACACAAUUUUACAGAGCCUUGUGAAAACUGGAGGGUAGAUUUAAAGAUGAUAUGCAAUGAAAAAAUGUCCGACCAGAGGGUCGUUGAAUUGAAACCCUUUCAAAAUAAAAAUCCCCCUGUCAAUUCUGUAAA